rnacentral:tRNA from 1 species
GACCUCGUAGCUCAGUUGGCUAGAGCGUUGGCUUCCCCUUGCUGGCGUGGGUUCGAAUCCCACCGAGGGUG